AAAAAGGGUGUUUACCGCUUUGAUGGUACGCAUGCCGGCAACGGUGUGCGGGGUAUGGCUAUCAAGACAUACUCAACACGUAAUUUUUGUUUUCGCGAGGCUGUUGACUACCCCUAUGUAUCGGCGCCUCC